rnacentral:rRNA from 1 species
GAUGAACGCUGGCGGCGUGCCUAAUACAUGCAAGUCGAGCGAAUUGACAGAGGUGCUUGCACCUCUCGAUUUUAGCGGCGGACGGGUGAGUAACACGUGGGUAACCUACCUAUAAGACUGGGAUAACUUCGGGAAACCGGAGCUAAUACCGGAUAAUAUUUAGCUUCGCAUGAAGCAAUAGUGAAAGACGGUUCUGCUGUCACUUAUAGAUGGACCUGCGGUGUAUUAGCUAGUUGGUGAGGUAACGGCUCACCAAGGCAACGAUACAUAGCCGGCCUGAGAGGGUGAUCGGCCACACUGGGACUGAGACACGGCCCAGACUCCUACGGGAGGCAGCAGUAGGGAAUCUUCCGCAAUGGACGAAAGUCUGACGGAGCAACGCCGCGUGAGUGAAGAAGGUUUUCGGAUCGUAAAACUCUGUUGUAAGGGAAGAACAAGUACGUUAGUAACUGAACGUACCUUGACGGUACCUUACCAGAAAGCCACGGCUAACUACGUGCCAGCCGCCGCGUAACAC